UGCUUGCUUGCGGUGUAGUAACUUAUUUGAUUUAUAUAUCUAUACCUCAUGAAAUUUACGGUUUUGGGUUCAAUUCCUGUAAUACCCCGUUUCCCGAGCUAAAUUUAGAAUUUAUUUUAAACUUAGAUUUAAGAUGAUUCACGCCGGAAUGAGAAAAAAAAUUUAUUUUUAAUUCCAACAAAAAUGAUUUACAAAAACAUUUGUAAAUUUAGUUAUUGAAUUUAUAUGCAUUGCAUAUUUAUUUAAUUUAGCAUUCAAGCAUUUUCACGAGCUUUUAAUUAGUAAACCCUGAAGAUUAUUACAGUUUUCAUAGUACAACCCGAAAGACUUUUUAUUUUAUUUUAUUUAAUUCAAUAUCUACCUACUCCCAUACCCACUACACCCACCUACUCCCAUACCCACUACACCCACCUUUUCGCACUUACAUAGCUGGGUUGAUGCUUCCAUCUUCCACCCACAACAUCAAUUCAAGAAUGCUUUGGAAUGCUUUGCAGAUCACUGAAGCCUCAGCCAACUCAAAGAACCAUCACAAGGUUUCAUCUUUUAAAAAACUUCACUACUUGUUUUUAUAGUAUUCUCCAUUUAUUUCAGAACACACAAACUUCAAGAAUCACACCCAUACACACAUUCAUCUACAAUAACUGUUAUACGAAAACAUAUAUGCAUUCAUGAUCUGUGUACAUAUAUACAUAUAUAUAUGAAGCCUGAUUAAAUGAAAAUAGAAUAAAAUGAGUUUUGAAGCCUUAAAUUUAUCUUCAAUUUUGGAGUGGGUUGUGUGCGAUUGGAGUCGGGGUCGUCAGUUGAUGCCGGAGGUCGGAGAUGGCUGUGAGUUGGGAAGGGGAUGACGGCGAUGGCGGGCGUUUUUCGCCGCUGUUCGACCAAGAGAGAGAGAGAUGCGAGGGCUGGGUGUUGUGCUCUGUUCUCACAGAGAGAGCGAAGUAUGAGUGAGUUGAGUCGAGGGAGGUGACGGCGGCGGUUGUGAACUGCUGCUGUCUGCCGGAGUCAAGCGAAAGAAAAAAAAGGGAGGUCGUUCGGUCGGCGGUGGCCUUGAUGCUACCGUCUGACUGAGACGAGGGAGGCCAGGCGGCGGCUGCUAUCACCGGGGAAAGGCGGCGGAUCUGCUGCGAGGACGCCGGAGACGGCGGCGCUCCGCGGCAGUUGCGCCUGCUGCGCCUUGUGCCGGCAGUUGAGAGAGUUGAGGGAGAGGAGAGUCAAGGGGCGGCGGCGUGAUCGGCGAUGGUUGCCGUCGUCCGCCGGAGGAGAUUCGAGGGAGAAAGAGAGGCGGAGCCUUGGAGAGAGAAAGCUGCGUAAGGUUGUGAGUGUGUGUGCGUAGCGGCUGAAGGGGGGAGAAGAAGGGAAGGGGGUUGGGCUUUGAGGGACUUGGGCCGAUUUUUAUUAGUGAUGGGCCGAUUUUUUAAANAAAACUUUUAGAACUUACACAUUAAUUCCUUAUUACUUGGCCAACACAUGAGUCAAAAACUUCAAAAUUUCACAAUGUUCUUACGCUCAUUUGGUUUGUGCAUAAUAGUACAAAAGCAGGAUUGACUUUAAAGAAAACGGUCAUUGAGAACUAGUUCAAAUAAUAAAGUUUAGAUACUUAAAUAUUCUUUUUUAUUAAAAAGUACUGAGUUUAAUUAUGUUUAUGUCAUAUAGUAAUGUAGAGAUGUAGUGGUAUAGAGGUCUUGCUUGCUUGCUUGCGGUGUAGUAACUUAUUUGAUUUAUAUAUCUAUACCUCAUGAAAUUUACGGUUUUGGUUUCAAUUCCACUUACGUCAUGCGGUAUAGUAGUGUAGAGGUCUCAGCUGCGUGCAAUGUAGUUUUUUUUUUUUUUUUGUGGUGUAGAGGUGCAUACGAUGUAGUUUCCCACAUUUGUGUGGUGUAGAGGUCCCGCCUGCGUGCAGUGUAAUGACUUAUUUGAUUAUAUAUUUAUACCUCGUGUAAUGCAAGGUCAUGGGUCCAAUUCUGUUUGCGUGGUGUAUAAUAUAGGUCCCGUCUGCGUGCGAUGUAGUUUUUCACCUUUGUGUGGUAUAGAGCUGUAAAUGUGUGUGCGAUGUAGUUUCCCAUCUUUAUGUAGUGUAGAGGUGUAAAGAUGUACAGAUCCCAUCUGGAUACGAUGCAAUGACU
rnacentral:lncRNA from 1 species